rnacentral:rRNA from 1 species
AACGAACGCUGGCGGCGUGGAUAAGACAUGCAAGUCGAACGGAACUGUUUUUGUAGCAAUACAGAAGCAGUUUAGUGGCGAACGGGUGCGUAACACGUGGGCAAUCUGCCGAAAAGUGGGGGAUAACUCGCCGAAAGGCGAACUAAUACCGCAUGUGGUUAAGAGAGACAUCUCUCUGACACUAAAGCCGGGGUAACCUGGCGCUUUUUGAUGAGCCCGCGGCCUAUCAGCUUGUUGGUGAGGUAACGGCUCACCAAGGCUAUGACGGGUAGCUGGUCUGAGAGGACGACCAGCCACACUGGAACUGAGACACGGUCCAGACACCUACGGGUGGCAGCAGUCGAGAAUUUUUCUCAAUGGGGGAAACCCUGAAGGAGCGACGCCGCGUGGAGGAUGAAGGUUUUCGGAUUGUAAACUCCUGUCAUUGGGGAACAAUUGCAUAGAUUUAACUGAUCUGUGCUUGAUAGUACCCGAAGAGGAAGAGACGGCUAACUCUGUG